rnacentral:rRNA from 1 species
AUUGAACGCUGGCGGCAGGCCUAACACAUGCAAGUCGAACGAGUGGCGGACGGGUGAGUAAUGUCUGGGAAACUGCCCGAUGGAGGGGGAUAACUACUGGAAACGGUAGCUAAUACCGCAUACCAUCGGAUGUGCCCAGAUGGGAUUAGCUAGUAGGUGGGGUAACGGCUCACCUAGGCGACGAUCCCUAGCUGGUCUGAGAGGAUGACCAGCCACACUGGAACGGAGACACAGUCCAGAGUCCUACGGGAGGCAGCAGAGGGGAAUAUUGCACAAUGGGCGCAAGACUGAUGCAGCCAUGCCGCGUGUAUGAAGAAGGCGUUGGGGUUGUAAAGUACUUUCAGCGAGGAGGCGUUACUCGCAGAAGAAGCACCGGCUAACUCCGUGCCAGCCGCCGCGGUAAUAC